rnacentral:tRNA from 1 species
GCUUCCGUGGCGCAAUUGGUUAGCGCGUUCGGCUGUUAACCGAAAGGUUGGUGGUUCAAGCCCACCCGGAAGCG